rnacentral:rRNA from 1 species
GAUUCUGGCUCAGGAUGAACGCUAGCGGCAGGCUUAACACAUGCAAGGUCGAGGGGCAUCGGGAGUAGCAAUACUUGCCGGCGACCGGCGCAAGGGUGCGUAACGCGUGAGCAACAUGCCCGUAUCAGGGGGAUAAUCCAUGGAAACGUGGUCUAAUACCCCAUAGUAAUUAUGUAAGGCAUCUUAUAUAAUUUAAAGCUUUGGUGGAUACGGAUUGGCUCGCGUGACAUUAGCUGGAUGGUAAGGUAACGGCUUACCAUGGCUACGAUGUCUAGGGGUUCUGAGAGGAAGGUCCCCCACACUGGAACUGAGACACGGUCCAGACUCCUACGGGAGGCAGCAGUGAGGAAUAUUGGACAAUGGAUGGAAAUCUGAUCCAGCCAUGCCGCGUGCAGGAAGACGGCCCUAUGGGUUGUAAACUGCUUUUGUAUGGGAGCAAUAAGGGCUACGUGUAGUCCGAUGAGAGUACCAUACGAAUAAGCACCGGCUAACUCCGUGCCAGCCGCCGC